UAGAGUUUGAUCAUGGCUCAGGGUGAACGUUGGCGGUGCGUCUAAUACAUGCGAGUCGAGCGAGGCUUCGAGCCGAGCGGCGGACAGCUGAGUAACACGUUGGUAGCUACCCCCCACUCAGGGAUAAGCAUGAGAAAUCAUGUCUAAUACCGGAUGGUCCCGUAAGGGUAAAGAUUUUUCGGUGGGGGAGGUGCCUGCGGUCUAUCACGCUUGUUGGUGAGGUAAUGGCUUACCAAGGCUAUGACGGAUAGCUGGUCUGAGAGGAUGAUCAGUCAGAGGGAAACUGAGACACGGUUCCCACUCCUACGGGAGGCAGCAGUAAAGAAUCUUCCACAAUGGGGGCAACCCUGAUGGAGCGACACCGCGUGCAGGAUGAAGGCUUUCGGGUCGUAAACUGCUUUUCUGGGGGAAUAAUUCUGAAGGUACCCUAGGAAUAAGCACCGGCUAACUCCGUGCCAGCAGCCGCGGUAAUACGGAGGGUGCGAACGUUACCCGGAAUCAUUGGGCGUAAAGCGUCCGCAGGCGGCGUAGUAAGUCAGAUGUUAAACCUUGAGGCUCAACUUCAAGUUCGUAUCUGAAACUACUAUGCUAGAGUCUUUCAGAGGUACGUGGAAUUCUAUAUGUAGGGGUAAAAUCCGUAGAUAUAUAGAGGAACACCAAAAGCGAAGGCAGCGUACUGGGAAAGUACUGACGCUCAUGGACGAAAGCGUAGGUAGCGAACGGGAUUAGAUACCCCGGUAGUCUACGCCGUAAACGAUGAUCACUCGAUGUUGGGAGUUCGACCCUCUCAGUGUCUAAGCUAACGCGAUAAGUGAUCCGCCUGGGAAGUACGGUCGCAAGACUAAAACUCAAAGGAAUAGACGGGGACCCACACAAGCGGUGGAGCGUGUGGUUUAAUUCGACGAUAAGCGAGGAACCUUACCAAGGCUUGACAUCUUCCGAAUGCACCCGAAAUGGAGCAGUGCCGUAAGGAACGGAAUGACAGGUGCUGCAUGGUUGUCGUCAGCUCGUGCCUUGGGGUGUACGGUUAAGUCCGCAAACGAGCGCAACCCUUGUCCUUAGUUGCAUUUUUCUAAGGAGACUGCCUAGCAUAACUAGGAGGAAGGUAGGGAUGACGUCAAAUCAGCAUGGCCCUUAUGUCUUGGGCGACACACGCGCUACAAUGGCCAGCACAACGGGCAGCCAAGGAGUAAUCCGGAGCGAAUCCCUUAAAACUGGUCUAAGUUCGGAUUGAGGGCUGCAACUCGCCCUCAUGAAGUUGGAAUCGCUAGUAAACGCAUAUCAGCCAUGGUGCGUUGAAUAUGUUCCUGGGUCUUGUACUCACCGCCCGUCAAGUGAUGAAAGAUGGGGGUACCCGAAGUCCCUGCUAAGCAGGGCCUAAGGUAAAACCAUUGAUUGGCACUAAGUCGUAACAAGGUA
rnacentral:rRNA from 1 species